rnacentral:lncRNA from 12 species
GUCCAAGGCCCUCAGAGAGAAAUCAGGGAGGCUCUGGCGGCCAGAAGUGUCUGGAAGCAUCUUUUCUUCUAUUGUUGAGGAAAGCAGGAGGGGAGGCCCGCCUGGGCCGUGGGCCCAACCCGGAGGACUUCGUGAAAGAACAGAUGCCUGAUCUGGGACUUCCCAAUCAGGCCUCUUUGGCUUGGCACCUGUCCCCGACUCGGGGGGCCUGAUUCUGUGGCAGUGCCCCGAGCAGAUGGGUCUGACUCAGGCCGGGCAGCAACUAGGGUCUGUGACGACGUGCAUUGCUGUGGGCACCACUUCCCGGAGGCUGUGGCGGGCAGCUGCGGGACCGUGGCCCGGCCGACCCGCACUGGGGACUGUGCCCGGGACAGAGCCUGGCUGGCAGAGAUGAUCUCACAGAGCCUUUGUUUCCCUGUCAGGGUAGGGACACAUCUGAGAGCUGGCGGUUUUCUAGACGCAGCAGGCUGGGCUCAAGGGGCAGAAGCAGCUUAUUCUUACUGAUGUCUGUGCUCACCUUUCCUCUUGGGACAUACGUGCUCCAUGAGACCCUACAGCUUCCCCUGGGGUCACAGACAUCACACGACUGAGCUCUAGGAGUGGCACUUGUGCAUACGUGGGCCCGGCUUCCCAGACCUGCCCCUAAAAUCUCCAGGUGGUGCCCUUGCGAGCAUCACCCCCAGGGGAGCAGAAGAAGCCCAAGAGCCACGAGCAAGGCUGAGUCACACAUGGGAGGAGCCGGGACUCCCGGAUGACCACAUCCGAUCCACACCACGCUGUGCCCAGGUGACCAGUACUUGCCCCGCACUGGGCCCUGUCCUGCGGGUGGUCUGUCUCUGCAGCCAGCCCGCUAGCUGAGGACAAUCAUCACAGACAAACGGCGUCUGUGUCAGACCCAUGCUGGCAACCUUUGACUUUUCUCAGAGCUCAUUUAACGCGUGACCUCAGUGGUGGCCAGAAUGUCAAGGAACUAUAAAUAUAAAGCAUCUUGGUGGCAAAUGACAAAAGACGCAUUUGGAUCCCAGACAAAGGGAAGGAAAGGUGGACUUUCCUUGGUGUCAGAAGUGGGACCCAGAAGAGAUGGCCCCCAGAGGACAAUGACCCUUGGACUCAAGCAGAUGCCCACAGUCAGCCCCCUGCUCAUGUCAGCCUUGUAUUAGGUGAUGCUUCUCUCAAAUUCCCAGAUCCCUUCCUUUGGUGGAGCUCUCUGAUUUUAUUCUGGAUCUGUCUAAAGACUUCAUCCUUUUUGACGAAGGACUCAUUUGUUUGCUUAGUGGACACAGGCCAGAAUGUUGGUAUCAUUCCUUUGGGACUCUUGAGAGCAAAAAUAAGCAAACAAAUUCAAGUAAUGUCAGUGGACACAGAGCGAGCAAAUAAACACUACCAGAGUGCUUGCCACCUCUUCCAGAGAGAGAACGGUCCGUGGUACAAAAGACUCCCACAGGAGGUGAGCUGGUCAAGGACAGGCCAGAUGGGCAUUCUUGCCUCUGCAAGACAAUUUCCAUGCCACGAGGGACACCAGGAAACUGGAAGUGUUAUCCCAUGAGACACACACUUAAAAUACAGCUCCCAACCCCGAAGGUGCACCCAACGAUCCAGCUUUCACCCUUUCUGGGUGGUUUUUUUUUUUUUUUUACUCUCAGGAAAACCUCUGAGAUGGGGGACCCCAAUCAACUAAAACCCCUACGGGAGGUCCCCCUGUGAGACCUCCCAUUGGGCUUAUGUUAAAAAAUGAUGAUCUGUCCUCAUGCAUGUUUUUGACAAUGAGCACGUCAUUGACCGUCAUGGGAACUUAUGAUCUGACCGGAACUGCUUUUCUUCCAGACGAGAUUGGAAGACCCCAGCAAUAGAACCAAACAGUCUGAAUGUGAGAGCUAUCUCAACGGAUACCUGGAGGCUUCCAGAUGUACACAGGAGUCUACAAACGCCUCCUUACAAAAUGCUAUUUCUGAGUUGACUGAAGCAGAUAGACAACCAGAAGGAGAUAAAGCACCUGAGGGGUCUACCUCAACUGCAUCGACUCUAACCACAUCCCUCCACCUCCUUGACACCUACCUUUGCCUUUUGCUGCCCUCUCUCCUUCACCUGAACCCCCUUCUUCUCUGGUGCUGAAACCAGGUGAAAUUCUGCCUUCUAAAAUUUAAAAUCCUUCUGAGGAUCCCACCAAACCACUAAUUGCUUACAUCCCACAGGCCAACACUGAACGUAGCACUGUCCUAAAAGAUUUUCUCAAGGUGAGUGAGGCUCUUCAUAGACUUGCCGAAAAAUUCAUUACUGUAAUUCCAGCUUCUCUGAUCUUUAUCACUCCGAUCUGUAUCGUUAGUCCACCUGCGGGCAAGCCCAGCACUGGAUAAAAGCCCCAAAUAACUUUCAGAACUCCAAGCAAGUGCACAACCAGCUCUUUUAUAGGACCAGGUUCAUGCCAUUCGCAAAAGGUUGCCCGGGGCCAUCGCAAGGGCUUUUCCUACACUGGUAGACUGGAAUGAAAUUCAGGCAUACCCCCAAAGUCUGCCAAAUAUGUUCACGAUUAUUGCAGCAGACUGCCAAUUGUUUUUAAAGAAAAUUCUGGACUCCCUAUAAACGUUGGCUACACCAGGGUGGCCUUUAAUUCAAUGUUUAUAAAUUAUUUUUUUUAAUUUUUAUUUAUUUAUGAUAGUCAGAGAGAGAGAGAAAGAGGCAGAGACACAGGCAGAGGGAGAAGCAGGCUUCAUGCACCGGGAGCCCGAUGUGGGAUUCGAUCCCGGGUCUCCAGGAUCGCUCCCUGGGCCAAAGGCAGGCGCCAAACCGCUGCGCCACCCAGGGAUCCCAUGUUUAUAAAUUAUUUAAAGAGAGAUCAAGCUUUGUUAGUCAAGAGGACCUGCAGGCAUAGGAAACUAGGCUCACCCCGAUCUUGGCCUUGUAGUUUACCGGUGAGCGUGCACCCCACAAGAUGAUUCCAAAGAAGGCCACCUAAAAUCGUAAAUCUCUGCAACUGCAACCGGUGGAAACUCCCUACUGGACUCUGUCAUUGCUGUAGACAGCCUGGCCAGGGGAAGAAGGGAGGCGGCAGAUUGGAAAGGUCUAGGUGAUUAUGGCUUUCCAAGAACCAAGGAUCAGACUGGCCCCAAAGGCCAGGGGGUCCCCUGGAAACGUUCCCUGUGCUACCAUUACAGAGUCUGGGGGAAGCCCCUCUCCGGAUCGAGGAUGAAUGCCGUACAACCCUCACUGACACCUGACACCUGAUGUACGGGUGGAGAAUGUAUUGUGAGAGCCCUAAUAAAGUGGCCUGAGUGAGGAGCGCUGAGAAGCCA